UGGGGAAUUUUGGACAAUGGGGGCAACCCUGAUCCAGCCAUGCCGCGUGUGCGAAGAAGGCCUUCGGGUUGUAAAGCACUUUUGGCAGGAAAGAAACGGCGCCGGCUAAUAUCUGGCGUAACUGACGGUACCUGCAGAAUAAGCACCGGCUAACUACGUGCCAGCAGCCGCGGUAAUACGUAGGGUGCAAGCGUUAAUCGGAAUUACUGGGCGUAAAGCGUGCGCAGGCGGUUCGGAAAGAAAGAUGUGAAAUCCCAGGGCUCAACCUUGGAACUGCAUUUUUAACUCCCGAACUAGAGUGUGUCAGAGGGGGGUGGAAUUCCACGUGUAGCAGUGAAAUGCGUAGAUAUGUGGAGGAACACCGAUGGCGAAGGCAGCCCCCUGGGAUAACACUGACGCUCAUGCACGAAAGCGUGGGGAGCAAACAGGAUUAGAUACCCCUGGUAGUCCACGCCCUAAACGAUGUCAACUAGCUGUUGGGUUCUUCGGAGCUUGGUAGCGCAGCUAACGCGUGAAGUUGACCGCCUGGGGAGUACGGUCGCAAG
rnacentral:rRNA from 1 species